rnacentral:pre_miRNA from 1 species
UAUGUAUUCCCUCCGUUCCAAAUUACCUGUCGUAGAAAUGGAUGUAUCUAGAACUAAAAUACAUCUAGAUACAUCCAUACUUGCGACAAGUAAUUCGGAACAGAGGGAGUAGUUU